rnacentral:rRNA from 1 species
AGAGUGAACGCUGGCGGUAGGCCUAACACAUGCAAGUCGAACGGCAGCACAGGAGAGCUUGCUCUCUGGGUGGCGAGUGGCGGACGGGUGAGGAAUACAUCGGAAUCUACCUUUUCGUGGGGGAUAACGUAGGGAAACUUACGCUAAUACCGCAUAAAGACCUUCGGGUGAAAGCCGGGGACCUUCGGGCCUGGCGCGGAUAGAUGAGCCGAUGUCGGAUUAGCUUGUUGGCGGGGUAAAAGCCCACCAAGGCGACGAUCCGUAGCUGGUCUGAGAGGAUGAUCAGCCACACUGGAACUGAGACACGGUCCAGACUCCGUACGGGAGCAG